GACGAACCGUCCAAACGUUAUUCGGAAUCACUGGGCUUAAAGCGCGUGUAGGCGGAUCGUUAAGUGCCUUGUGAAAUCCUGCGGCUCAACCGCAGAACCGCUGGGCAUACUGGCGAUCUUGGGCCACUCAGGGGUCACUGGAACAAGCGGUGGAGCGGUGAAAUGCGUAGAUAUCGCUUGGAACGCCAAAGGUGAAGACAGGUGACUGGGGGUGUGCCGACGCUGAGACGCGAAAGCCAGGGGAGCAAACGGG
rnacentral:rRNA from 1 species